CCUACGGGAGGCAGCAGUGGGGAAUUUUGGACAAUGGGCGCAAGCCUGAUCCAGCCAUUCCGCGUGCAGGAUGAAGGCCCUCGGGUUGUAAACUGCUUUUGUACAGAACGAAAAGGUUUCUACUAAUACUAGGAGCUCAUGACGGUACUGUAAGAAUAAGCACCGGCUAACUACGUGCCAGCAGCCGCGGUAAUACGUAGGGUGCAAGCGUUAAUCGGAAUUACUGGGCGUAAAGCGUGCGCAGGCGGUUAUAUAAGUCAGAUGUGAAAUCCCCGGGCUCAACCUGGGAACUGCAUUUGAGACUGUAUAGCUAGAGUACGGCAGAGGGGGAUGGAAUUCCGCGUGUAGCAGUGAAAUGCGUAGAUAUGCGGAGGAACACCGAUGGCGAAGGCAAUCCCCUGGGCCUGUACUGACGCUCAUGCACGAAAGCGUGGGGAGCAAACAGGAUUAGAUACCCUGGUAGUCCACGCCCUAAACGAUGUCAACUGGUUGUUGGGUCUUAACUGACUCAGUAACGAAGCUAACGCGUGAAGUUGACCGCCUGGGGAGUACGGCCGCAAGGUUGAAACUCAAAUGAAUUGACGG
rnacentral:rRNA from 1 species